UCGAGUUUUUUGAAAUCAGCAAGCUUUGAGUUUUCGACCAAACAAAUUAAAAAGAAAAUUUAGAGUUUGUUAAUUGUUUUUUUCAAUUUUAUUUACUCAAAAGAAAAAUGGCAAACUGUGGCUGUGGCUCUGCCUGCAAUUGCAAUCCCAACAACUGCUCAUGCAAUCAUAAUGUUGCUCCCAUGAAAGAGAACUUUGAAGGUGGUUGCGGCUGCAACAAAUGCUCAUGUGGAGACAAUUGCAACUGUAAUCCAUGCAAUUGCUAAAGUUAAGAGCUUUCAAUAUGGAAAGCAUACUAAUUUACAUAUUAAUGUUGCCUAUGAUUUGAAAUAUAUGUAUCAGUGGUUCUGUGUGUGUAUGUUGUUUGUCUGUAAGGUGUUUGACAAAAUGCCGCUUACAAAUACUUGAGAAAUAAAAGACCACACAGCAACCUAUUAUAUAAUGUAUCUUUCCUUUUUCCCUCCUUCCUAAUGUCGUUUAGGCCAGUUAUGACUGGUUGAUUUCUAUUAAUAUUUGCAUCUGUGUUUAGAUGGAUGAUUUAUCA